ensembl:lncRNA
AUGAACGUCUGAUAUAAAAUAGGGUUUUAAGGAAUAUAAUGCAACGUUAUAUAUACAUUAUUUGAUCUAAUCCAAGGUCAAACCUUUCACACACCUUGAAGAACUAGACACCUGCUUUACAGAGCCCAGUAUACGUGUCUUUUGUCAGCAAGGCCACCUUGUGGGAACGAGGACUCUGCCGCCAAACCGCCCACAAACGUCCAAACCACGGUCCCUUAUUGUGUCCACGGUUCUUGUCUCACAUGACCGCCCGCCCCGAGGACCUCAGGCCUCCUUGUGUCCCGAGCUCCGGGUCCAGACCGCUGCCCCCCCCUCGGGAGAAGACGGCGGUAACGCACGCCCUCGCUGCACCGAAGACACAAACGCUGGACGGUUUCUUCCGUCUCCAUCCAGACGGGAGAAGGAAAAGUGCGCCGAUGGCGGGAAGGCGCUCUGCUGCUGUUGUUGUUCCCUGUCCUCCACCCUCCGCUGCCCCACCGCCACGCACCGCCAACCCAACACCGCCCCGCCAAAACUCCCCGCACGGCGACUUCGAGAGGCGGCGAAGAAGCCGGUCGGCAUCUCCCUGCGACGAGCCACCUGCCCCGGGGGGGGGCGUUGAAGUCCGUGAGACGGCUCCGCGACCCGCCGCCGCGUCCCCCCACCCGGGCUGCCGGCUGCCUGCGGAGCCGAAUGGAUCGGAAGCGCCACCGCCGCCGGCGGCCUCCUCCUCCUCCUCCAUCUCACACGGGUCGCUCUCAGAUUUCAGCCGCCCACCGUCCAGCCGGUUCAGCCGCAGCACCGACCUCGCCAGCGGCCGGAGCAGCGUCCUGUCCGGCGAUCUCGGAGACUCGGAGCCAGGAGGCGGCGUUUGCUCCUCACCGCUCCAGCCUCGCCCGGUGACGGGGUCACCCUCGGCUCCUCGCCCUCCGCCGGCAUCCCACCCUCGCCAACCAUCCGCCGAUGCUUCGGCCACCCCUCUCCUCUACGAACCGCUAUUUGGGCAAACCCGACCCCUCUCGCCGCCGUCGACGUCAGGUGGGCUUCGUCAAUCAGAUAACCCUCCGAGCAGGAGCGAAAGCCCCGAUGCGACAAAGUAUCUCCAACCAGUUCCAUCAGAAGCUCCUGGUCCCCACCCAUCCAUGGCCUCCGACCGCGGCCUCGUCGGCCUGGCUUUCCCCUCCGCCACCUGGUCCUCCUGCCCGAGUCCGCAGAGGACCACUCCCCGCUCCUCGGGGUCAGGACCGGCUCCGACCCCUCCUGCGUCGGCGCCCCGUCUGGAGUCUCGUCGCUGGUCCCCGCUGCCUCCCAUCUCCCCUGUCGGAGGACGCUGUGGCACCGCAGCAUCCCGCUACUCCGAGCUCAGCUGCACUCAGUCCCGCGCGUUCGAUGAGCUGGAGGCCAUCGCCCCUCGCUCGCUGUCCUCCCCGUCUCUGGACCGGCUGUCGGACUCCUCCGGGUGCCCUUCACCUGACACAGAGCUGUCUCCGGGCCUGGCGGCGCUGACGGUGGGCUGUGACUCCGGGACCCUGGGCUCUCUGUCCCGGGUGCAGCUGCUCCUCCUGGACCGGCCGCAGCCCGACACCCGGCCGGGUCUGUUCGGCCCGGAAGAGGAGCUCUCGCCGGUGCAAGACUGGCCUCGUCUCGCGAUGCAACAUGAAGGUGGCGUGAGGCCCCGCACAGCUGGCGGCGUCUCUGAAAGGUGUGACUCCGCAGGGAAAGUCCACGAAAACAAAUCGGAGGGGUCCGAAGACGGUUUCUGGCUCUCCGUCUUCGUGGAUCAUCGACCCGGAGUCCAUCGCUCGCCAUGUUCAGAUCCGCCCUCUCCCCUUGCGUGUCCGAUCUCGGUUCCAGCGGAGGGGAAGGGGGCCCCGCCGAGGAGGAGGAGGAGGCCAAUUAUCCGGGAUGGGGGCAACAAGUCGAAUCCUCAGCCGCAGGACGGAGGCCCGCGAGCCUUGAUGGCAGAAGUGAGGAGAGGAAGCGGAGGAUGGAGGAGAGGAAAACAAAGGUGCUGAGCUUGCUCUCCAAGCUGCAGGACGACGGGCCGCGGCAGCCAAAGGGCCACCGGAGCUGCUCCAACUUCCAGGACUUUGACUUUUUGGCAAAGUAUUGCAUUUUCAGUCAGGAGAAGCUGGCCGAGUACAAAAGGGCUUUUGAAGCAGAGGACGCUGAUGAUGACGGCUACAUAUCCUGCCUUCAGGCUCUGCUCGCGCUCAAGAGCGUCAUCCCCGCGGAGCGGCUGUCCGACGAAGAAGAAAUCUACGUCUACAGGAUCUUAGAGAUGGUGGACUUCAGCGUGACAGAUGGGCUGGUGGACCUCCGGCUCUUUGCUGUGAUUGCGAGCCUGGCGCAGAAAGUGGCGGCCAUGGAUGAGUUCAUGCGAUCGCUAAUCACCGACAUGGACUUCCGCUCGUUAGAAGUGAGGCUCUUCAAAGCGAAGCAACUGUUCCUGUUCCUCAUGGAGGAGCAGCAAGGAGACGCCGGAGCCCAGCGGGGCUCCAUCAGCGCGGAGCAGCUCCUUCUGGAGCUGAAGGCCGGGGGCAUCCACCUGGAGCAGGAGGCGGCCGUGCGGCUGGAGCUGCAGCGCAUCCCCCCCCUGGACCUGCUGGACUUCCUGGCCUACCUGCCGCUCUUCAUGCUCAUUCACAAGUCGGUCAUCGCCAACCCUCUCAAUGACUCCGGCGACCUCUGACCUCGGCCCUUGGCACCUGGCGAAGCAGCGUCACUGCCGUUAAAUCCACCAACACGCAGGAACCCUUCAUUUAAUUUGUUUUGUUUUUACAUUACUAGUAAAGAUAAGUCUGGUUAUUAGCUAUUUAGUUAGCCUGGAAUGCUAACGUGCAGUUAGCUGCUAACUGCCAGCUCAGCACGUUGAGCGUUAUGAAACUUUUGCAACUUCUUUUCACAACCACUUGAUGUUUGUCUCAUUGAUUAAUAUAUUGUUCUGUGGUUCCUGUUAACGUUUCAUGGAGCUGUGAAGUGCUGUCUAUGGUCCUGAAAUGUUUCCGUAGAUGUUGCAGCCGUUUGAAAAAGCUUUAAACGCAUCAAAAAGUUGCAUUAAAUAAAAGCACCUCCAAACGGGGCGGG